AACAAACGCUGGCGGCGUGCCUAAUACAUGCAAGUCGAACGGGGAAAGCUUUCGGGUGAGUACUAGUGGCGCACGGGUGAGGAACGCGUGGAUAAUCUGCCUUAGAGUGGGGGAUAACUAGUCGAAAGAUUAGCUAAUACCGCAUAAGACCACGAGAGCUGCGGCUUUUGAGGUCAAAGGUUUUUCGCUCUAAGAUGAGUCCGCGUAAGAUUAGCUAGUUGGUGAGGUAACGGCUCACCAAGGCGACGAUCUUUAACUGGUCUGAGAGGAUGAUCAGUCACACUGGAACUGAGACACGGUACAGACUCCUACGGGAGGCAGCAGUAGGGAAUAUUGCACAAUGGAGGAAACUCUGAUGCAGCGACGCCGCGUGAGUGAUGAAGGCCUUCGGGUCGUAAAGCUCUGUCGCAGGGGAAUAACACAAUGAAGGUACCCUGUAAGAAAGGAUCGGCUAACUUCGUG
rnacentral:rRNA from 1 species